rnacentral:rRNA from 1 species
AUUGAACGCUGGCGGCAGGCCUAACACAUGCAAGUCGAACGAGUGGCGGACGGGUGAGUAAUGUCUGGGAAACUGCCCGAUGGAGGGGGAUAACUACUGGAAACGGUAGCUAAUACCGCAUACCAUCGGAUGUGCCCAAGUGGGAUUAGCUAGUAGGUGGGGUAACGGCUCACCAAGGCGACGAUCCCUAGCUGGUCUGAGAGGAUGACCAGCCACACUGGGACUGAGACACGGUCCAGACUCCUACGGGAGGCAGCAGUAGGGAAUAUUGGGCAAUGGACGAAAGUCUGACCGAGCCAUGCCGCGUGAGUGAAGAAGGUUUUCGGAUCGUAAAGUUCUUUUGUUAGAGAAGCGGUAUCUACCCAGAAAGCCACGGCUAACUACGUGCCAGCAGCCGCGGUAAUAC